AGUGUUAGUUCUCAUAAAGAAUCUUAAACAGAAUUGUUGUUUCUUUUAACAAAUGACAGUUCCUCUAUUCAAAUAUCCAUUAUGAAACUUAUUUGUUGACUUCUCCUAGAUAAUAAUAAUCAAAAGAAGAGUUUUGUGCUACCUUUUACAAAUAACUCCCCUGCCAAAUUUGAAAUUGCAGAACAACACUCCCACAAAGAACUGAAAGAACUAUCCUAUACAAUGAAUAUGAGGUGUCUUCAUUUCAUCCAUAUUGAGAUAACUAACACAUCUCAGUGUAACCUUACAAAUGGUAAUUAAAAAUACAUACAGUGGAAGUA